CAGGAUGUGAAAUCCCCGGGCUCAACCUGGGAACUGCGUUNUGAACUGGGUGACUAGAGUGUNUCAGAGGGAGGUAGAAUUCCUCGUGUAGCAGUGAAAUGCGUAGAGAUGUGGAGGAAUACCGAUGGCGAAGGCAGCCUCCUGGGAUAACACUGACGUUCAUGCCCGAAAGCGUGGGUAGCAAACAGGAUUAGAUACCCUGGUAGUCCACGCCCUAAACGAUGUCGAUUAGCUGUUGGGCAGCAUGACAGCUUAGUAGCGAAGCUAACGCGUGAAAUCGACCGCCUGGGGAGUACGGUCGCAAGAUUAAAACUCAAAGGAAUUGACGGGGACCCGCACAAGCGGUGGAUGAUGUGGAUUAAUUCGAUGCAACGCGAAGAACCUUACCUGGUCUUGACAUGUACGGAACCCUUCAGAGACGGAGGGGUGCCUUCGGGAGCCGUAACACAGGUGCUGCAUGGCUGUCGUCAGCUCGUGUCGUGAGAUGUUGGGUUAAGUCCCGCAACGAGCGCAACCCUUGUCAUUAGUUGCCAUCAUUAAGUUGGGCACUCUAAUGAGACUGCCGGUGACAAGCCGGAGGAAGGUGGGGAUGACGUCAAGUCCUCAUGGCCCUUAUGACCAGGGCUUCACACGUCAUACAAUGGUCGGUACAGAGGGUAGCCAAGCCGCGAGGCGGAGCCAAUCUCACAAAACCGAUCGUAGUCCGGAUUGCACUCUGCAACUCGAGUGCAUGAAGUCGGAAU
rnacentral:rRNA from 1 species